AAAAUAAGAUUUAACAUUUGGCGUAUUUCUUCUAUGUAUUGGUGUUGAUUAAUGAUUGGAUCGACAAGCUCAAUGAUAUUUCCAUGUUCUCGUAGCACAUUUGCCUGUAUUAAUUUCAUAAGUAAAAUAACUAUCUCUACAAAUAAAAGAUCUUAUAAAUGGUAGAUUAGGAUUGGCGGAAUUUCUAAAUAAUGCAAAAAAUAUGGAUUGAUUGACUUACUUACCCAAUCAAGAAGGCAAAUGUAAUCCGACAUUCGGGUGAAAUCUCUAUUGCUCUUUCCACUUACAAGUUCUAACACGACGAUUCCAAAGCUAUAUACAUCUGCUUUUUCUGUCAAAUAUCCCCCCAUUGCGUAUUCUGGUGCCAUAUAUCCACUAUAAGAAAGAAAGAAAUUACAUAAUCGAUCUUAGAAAUAUAUUAACAGCUUCGAUCAUGUUGUUCAUCUUCUAUCUGAAUCUUUAAUAAUAUCGAUUAUUUACGCACUUACAC
rnacentral:lncRNA from 1 species